rnacentral:rRNA from 1 species
GGCUUGUUGAUUAUAAUUUCAGGUCUGACCUGCCCAGUGAGUGUUUUAAAUGGCCGCGGUAUUUUGACCGUGCAAAGGUAGCAUAAUCAUUAGUUUUUUAAUUGGAAGCUUGUAUGAAAGGUUUGAUGAAAAAAAGGCUGUCUCUGUAAAAAUUUUGUAGAAUUUUAUUUUUAAGUAAGAAAGCUUAGAUUUGUAUAGAAGACGAGAAGACCCUGUAGAGUUUUAUAUUUUAAUUGAAAAUAUUUUUAGGGUUUUAUAAUUUAUUUUUUGUUAGAGUAUUUUAUUGGGGUGAUGAAAAAAUUUGAUAAACUUUUUUUUUAUAAGGUACAUUUAUUUAUGGAUGGAGGAUCCUAGUUUUUGGAUUGUAAGAUUAAAUUACCUCAGGGAUAACAGCGUAAUUUUUUUUAGAGUUCUUAUUGAAGAAAAAGUUUGCGACCUCGAUGUUGGAUUAAAAUUAAUUAUUGGUGCAGAAGUUAAUAUAUUAGGUCUGUUCGACCUUUAAAAUUUUACAUGAUCUGAGUUUAAACCGGUGUGAG